GACGAACGCUGGCGGCGUGCCUAAUACAUGCAAGUUGAGCGAUGAAGUUUGGUGCUUGCACCAAUUUGAAGAGCAGCGAACGGGUGAGUAACGCGUGGGGAAUCUGCCUUUGAGCGGGGGACAACAUUUGGAAACGAAUGCUAAUACCGCAUAACAACUUUAAACAUAAGUUUUAAGUUUGAAAGAUGCAAUUGCAUCACUCAAAGAUGAUCCCGCGUUGUAUUAGCUAGUUGGUGAGGUAAAGGCUCACCAAGGCGAUGAUACAUAGCCGACCUGAGAGGGUGAUCGGCCACAAUGGGACUGAGACACGGCCCAAACUCCUACGGGAGGCAGCAGUAGGGAAUCUUCGGCAAUGGACGAAAGUCUGACCGAGCAACGCCGCGGGAGUGAAGAAGGUUUUCGGAUCGUAAAACUCUGUUGGUAGAGAAGAACGUUGGUGAGAGUGGAAAGCUCAUCAAGUGACGGUAACUACCCAGAAAGGGACGGCUAACUACGUG
rnacentral:rRNA from 1 species